GUGUCGCUAUCGGAAGUUCGAUCCUUCCGUCCCAG
rnacentral:tRNA from 1 species